UACGUAGGGUGCGAGCGUUAAUCGGAAUUACUGGGCGUAAAGCGUGCGCAGGCGGUUCGUUAUGUCCGAUGUGAAAGCCCCGAGCUUAACUUGGGAAUGGCAUUGGAAACUGGCGGGCUGGAGUGCGGCAGAGGGGGGUGGAAUUCCACGUGUAGCAGUGAAGUGCGUAGAGAUGUGGAGGAACACCGAUGGCGAAGGCAGCCCCCUGGGCCGACACUGACGCUCAGGCACGAAAGCGUGGGGAGCAAACAGG
rnacentral:rRNA from 1 species